UACGGAGGAUGCAAGCGUUAUCCGGAAUUACUGGGCGUAAAGCGUGCGCGGGCGGUUUUGUAAGCCAGAUGUGAAAUCCCCGGGCUUAACCUGGGAACUGCAUUUGGGACUGCAAGGCUCGAGUACGGCAGAGGGAGGUGGAAUUCCACGUGUAGCAGUGAAAUGCGUAGAGAUGUGGAGGAACACCGAUGGCGAAGGCAGCCUCCUGGGCCAGUACUGACGCUCAUGCACGAAAGCGUGGGGAGCAAACAGG
rnacentral:rRNA from 1 species